rnacentral:rRNA from 1 species
CCCUACGGGGCGCAGCAGGCGCGAAAACUUCACACUGUGCGAAAGCGCGAUGAGGGAAUCCCAAGUGUUUGCUCGUUAGAGUAAACUGUUUCUUUGUUUAAAACGCAGAGAGAGUAAGGGCUGGGUAAGACGGGUGCCAGCCGCCGCGGUAAUACCUGCAGCUCAAGUGGUGAUCAUUAUUAUUGGGCCUAAAACGUCCGUAGCCGGUUUAGUAAAUGCCUGGGUAAAUCGUGUAGCUUAACUAUACGACUUCCGGGUAGACUGCUAAACUUGAGACCGGGAGAGGCUAGAGGUACUCCUGGGGUAGAGGUGAAAUUCUGUAAUCCUAGGGGGACCACCAGUGGCGAAGGCGUCUAGCUAGAACGGGUCUGACGGUGAGGGACGAAGCCCUGGGGCACAAACCGGAUUAGAUACCCGGGUAGUCCAGGGUGUAAACGCUGCUUGCUUGAUGUUAGUUGGGCUCCGAGCCCAACUAGUGUCGGAGAGAAGUUGUUAAGCAAGCUGCCUGGGAAGUACGGUCGCAAGGCUGAAACUUAAAGGAAUUGGCGGGGGAGCAC